UACGGGGGGGUAAGCGUUGUUCGGAAUCCCUGGGCGUAAAGCGCACGUAGGCGGAUUGUUAAGUCAGGGGUGAAAUCCUGGAGCUCAACUCCAGAAUUGCCUUUGAUACUGGCGAUCUUGAGUCCGGGAGAGGUGAGUGGAACUGCGAGUGUAGAGGUGAAAUUCGUAGAUAUUCGCAAGAACACCAGUGGCGAAGGCGGCUCACUGGCCCGGUACUGACGCUGAGGUGCGAAAGCGUGGGGAGCAAACAGG
rnacentral:rRNA from 1 species